rnacentral:rRNA from 1 species
CAGCACCUCAAGUGGUCAGGAUGAUUAUUGGGCCUAAAGCAUCCGUAGCCGGCGCUGUAAGUUUUCGGUUAAAUCUGUACGCUCAACGUACAGGCUGCCGGGAAUGCUGCAGCGCUAGGGAGUGGGAGAGGUAGACGGUACUCGGUAGGAAGGGGUAAAAUCCUUUGAUCUAUUGAUGACCACCUGUGGCGAAGGCGGUCUACCAGAACACGUCCGACGGUGAGGGAUGAAAGCUGGGGGAGCAAACCGGAUUAGAGACCCGAGUAGUCC